AUUGAACGCUGGCGGCAUGCCUUACACAUGCAAGUCGAACGGUAACAGGUUAAGCUGACGAGUGGCGAACGGGUGAGUAAUGUAUCGGAACGUGCCCAGUCGUGGGGGAUAACUGCUCGAAAGAGCAGCUAAUACCGCAUACGACCUGAGGGUGAAAGCGGGGGACCGCAAGACCUCGCGCGAUUGGAGCGGCCGAUAUCAGAUUAGGUAGUUGGUGAGGUAAAGGCUCACCAAGCCGACGAUCUGUAGCUGGUCUGAGAGGACGACCAGCCACACUGGGACUGAGACACGGCCCAGACUCCUACGGGAGGCAGCAGUGGGGAAUUUUGGACAAUGGGCGCAAGCCUGAUCCAGCCAUGCCGCGUGCGGGAAGAAGGCCUUCGGGUUGUAAACCGCUUUUGUCAGGGAAGAAAAGGUUCUGGCUAAUACCUGGGACUCAUGACGGUACCUGAAGAAUAAGCACCGGCUAACUACGUG
rnacentral:rRNA from 1 species